UUACUGCAUUUUUUUUCUAUAUUUUCUCUUCUAAAAUAUUUGUAGCUUUAUUUUCUAAUUGUGAACUGCAUAACUAUUUUCUUGUAAGUAGAAUUGGAAAAAUAAACCAACCUUUAUGCCUUGUCUGGUUGUCAUUCUUAGCAUAAUAUCUACUUUAGUUCAAACAAUGAUUUAGCUGAGCUAUAAUACACUCUUAUAGUAUUUAGUCUGUUUCUUUGUUUGUUUUGGGUAUAGGAACAAUAUACUAUGAUUAAACCAAAUCAGUUGAACUUUUUCAUAUUUUACAUUACUGAUAGGAAGUGAAGAGUUAGUCACCAGAGUGAAAUGAUCUGUAAACACUCCACUGACUUACAAUUUUGUGGAAUGUAUCAGGACUUGAUUUUUUUAAUGCUUUAACACUAAAAGCUUUAUAACUUUUCUUACGUAAAUCAGAAUAUUACUAUUAAGAAAAUUGAGUUUUAAAUGGACUUUCCUACCUGGAGGUAGACAAAGGGUACAAAUUCUGUCUUCAAGAGUGACCUAAAUAGACUCUCACAUGCAUUCUUCCAUUAAGUACUAGGUUUGUCCUGGUAAAACAAACUACAGAAAUAUCUGUAUUAAAAACUGUCAGGAUGAUACUCCUAACAAGAAUCAUACUGUUAAAAAUCAUAUUGUAAAACUUAAAAAGCACAAUUAUAAGUUUUCCCUGCAGUGUUUUAUUUUUUUCCCCAGAGGGCUUCUUCUGUAUAUAGGGUAGCAGCUUUUUUUUUGAGACGGAGUCUCGCU
rnacentral:lncRNA from 1 species